GGCGAUUUACUGUACCAAAUCUUAGUCGAUUCGAUCAAGGCGUUUGACAAUGGUUGUUGACUUUUAUAACUGUUUGACUUGAAAUCGGGAAUUGCAGCUGGUUUCAAGUUUAUCUAAAUGCAAUCUAGUCAGCAAUAAUAUCAGACAUGUUGCUUUGGAGUUUCAGGGCAAUGUAUUGUACCAAUUGUUAAUUGAUUUGUUUCAGGCGCAUGAGAAUUGUUUCAAGUUUUUGUGUUUGACUUGAAAUCGGGAAUUGCAUCUGAAUGCAAUCUAAUCGGCAAUUAUUUCAGACAUCUGGCUUUGGAUUUUCAGGGCAAUUUAUUGUACCAAACUUGAAUUGAUUUGUUUCAGGCGCAUGAGGAUUGUUUCAAGUUCCUGUAUUUGACUUGAAAUCGAG
rnacentral:misc_RNA from 1 species